GCACCGACAUGUGAAAAGGCAGCGAAGCAAGUGCAGAAAAGAAAACACUUGGCAGACGUUGUUUUGCGCAUUACCGCGGAGUCGGACUCUUGAUUUUUCAGAAUCGGACUUUAUUGGCAGUGAUCAGGAGAUCGAGCAAGAGAGUUAGAAGCAGGCAUCAGCUGAUCAGACACCAGCUGAUGCCGCGCGAGCGGAUCUGCUGCCAGUUGAGUGCCUUCGCGCAGCCGAUGCAUGUACAGCAAGGUUCGCAUGGGAUAAAUACACAUACAUUGAUCCGUUGAGAGCCGAUAUGGCUACCGGAGUUUACAAGACGGCAUGGCUUGUUUUUGGACACGACAGAUCACCAGCUACUGUACUUCAGGCUGCUCUCUCCUGAUGCUGCUUUUCAGCUACUGUCAGACAAACAGGGCGCGAAGCGGAAGCAGAAGUAGACAAUGGCCGACAGUGAGAUGAAUCGCAUUGCCGUCGUCAUAGAAGAACUCCAGGCACUCGACGAACAGAUUCAGAAACUCCUGUCCAGAAGAAGACACCUUAGGGAUCUUGCUCGGCUACUGGAUAAACCGUCCUCGCCAUCUGUAAUCGGAGUAACAUCAACCCCACGUUGUGCCGCUCAAGUAAACUUCACCCCCGCGCCUCGUAGAAGCAACGACGACUCCGACGAAGACCUCGGCGGAUAUCAGCUAUGCAGGCGAGGGUUCAAGGCUAGAACACCUCCAUCGGCACAGGCAAGCAUUUUGACUCAGAACCGGUUCGACCCUCUCCGCGUCUCCAGUUUGCCUUCAGCCCCUGGUGAUGUAAUAGUGGUAGGUGAUUCUAUAGUUAGAAACCUCAAUAUCACAUGCCCUAAUCGAAAUCGUUUGUUUCUUGUUUUCCCGGUGCUCGUGUCUGAGAUGUGAUGAGACGUGCGCCGGCAAUCUACGAGAAGCACACAGAGAGAGCAUCUGGAGUGAUUGUUUUGCAUGCCAGCGUGAACGACAUAAGACAUCGACAGUCGGAAAUCCUCAAGGCUGACUUCGCAGCUCUAAUUAAGGACACGAAGGAGAGGACCCCAUCGGCAAAGAUCUUCAUUUCGGGUCCACUACCUCUCGUCAGACGAUCAAACAAGUACUACAGUCGUCUGCUAGGAUUAAACAACUGGCUGCAAGGCUUCUGCAAGAAUUAAGACAUCAGAUUCAUCAACAACUGGGACCUCUUUUGGGAAAGGCCGCGUUUCUUCAAGAGAGAUGGCCUGCAUCCGAAAAGUUUCUGCGCCCGGGUCCUCUCCGAAAACAUAUAUAAGGUAAUUUGUUUAUCUUGACUAUCUAUCUCUACUCUAAACCCCUUCUGAAAUGCUAUUGCUGUGCUAGGACAUGAUAAUUGUUUAAUAAAAUCUUCCGUAAAAGUGCACAACAUUAAUACUCUAAUAACCAAUCUCAAUGCACGUAGAAAAUCUAGGCAAUACGGCAUAAACACCAAUAAUUUAAUUAAAAUUACUACUUUAGAUGAACAAUGUAUUAAAACUAUAAAAACAGACUAAAGAUUAAACAAAAAAUACACA